AGCACUUUUUGUGCACUGGGUGAACUGAAGCAUGCGGGCUUCAAUAAAAAAAAAAAAAAAAUCUGUUCUUAUCAGUUUAAUAUCUGAUACGUCCCCUAUCUGGGGACCAUAUAUUAAAUGGAUUUUUGGAACAGGGAGAUGGAAGAAGAGCUUGCUCUGUCCACUCCACGCAUCGACCUGGUAUUGCAGUACCUCCAGGACCGGUGCACCUCUC
rnacentral:snRNA from 1 species